rnacentral:rRNA from 1 species
AGGGGACGACGUCUGGUCAGCAUGGCCCUUACGGCCUGGGCGACACACGUGCUACAAUGCCCACUACAAAGCGAUGCCACCCGGCAACGGGGAGCUAAUCGCAAAAAGGUGGGCCCAGUUCGGAUUGGGGUCUGCAACCCGACCCCCAUGAAGCCGGAAUCGCUAGUAAUCGCGGAUCAGCACGCCGCGGUCGAAUACGUUCCCGGGCCUU